AGAAGACCAAUACUUUGACGGUGAGAGAUAUGAAAUAUCGAGUGACGAACUUGAUGAAUGCCUAGGGAAAAACGUUCAUAAAUCUGCUGCAGAGGGGGACAACCAGGCUGACCUGCGAUCGACAGAAGGUCGCUAUGUGUCCUCUGAAACGU